GCUUUUCUAGAGAAAAGUGUUAGGUUUAAGGAGAAGACAAAUUUAUCAAACAACAUGCGACAUUUCAUAGAAGUGGCAUAAGGUACACCAACGCAGACUGAAGCAAAGCUGACUUCACAUAUUCCCCUAAUGAUACAUUCCCCCCUAUAGGUGUGACACGCCAUAAAUACUGCUCAAUG